rnacentral:tRNA from 1 species
AGCAAUCAAAGCCCCCGCCGGGUGAUCCGGGCGGGGGCUUUGUCGUGGUCGCCCUGGGAGGCGGGCGGUUUAAC